rnacentral:rRNA from 1 species
UGGGGAAUAUUGCACAAUGGGGGAAACCCGUGAUGCAGCGACGCCGCGUGAAGGAAGAAGUAUUUCGGUAUGUAAACUUCUAUCAGCAGGGAAGAAAAAUGACGGUACCUGACUAAGAAGCCCCGGCUAACUACGUGCC